CCAAGUUCUGGGAUAUCGGACAAAGUACGUAAAACUACGUAAAUAUAAACAAGAUGUUUAUUUUAAAGACAUAUAAAUGGUUGAACAUAAGUUUACAUGAAUAAAUAUACGGUGGUGGCUAGUCUACUUGUAAAAAUAAAGGUUCCAUCGCAAGCCAAAGUAUGAGCGUCUGCUCAUUUCAAAUCCUUAGUGUAGACUGCCCAGAACCCGGUGAGUGACGUCAUACUUAUAGUUCCUAUGGACAACGAGCCCGGCCGGGCACGUGCCAGAACAGGAAGUCCCGACAAGGAUAAUUUCAUGGCCGGUCUCGGAAGAAAGAGUUACGGAACUAUAAGUAAUUCUAAAGUUAACCAAUAUCCCCAAAUAAAUAGAAUAUAGACAAGUAAACAAAGUGACCACCAUUACACAU
rnacentral:lncRNA from 1 species